rnacentral:rRNA from 1 species
UACAGAGGGUGCAAGCGUUGUUCGGAAUUACUGGGCGUAAAGCGCACGUAGGCGGACUGUUUAGUUGGGGGUGAAAGCCCAGGGCUCAACCCUGGAAUUGCCUCCAAUACUGGCAGUCUCGAGGCCGAGAGAGGUGAGUGGAACUCCGAGUGUAGAGGUGAAAUUCGUAGAUAUUCGGAAGAACACCAGUGGCGAAGGCGGCUCACUGGCGUCGGUACUGACGCUGGAGGUGCGAAAGCGUGGGGAGCAAACAGG